GGGUGUGAUCAUACCAGCGCUAAUGCAUCAGAUUCCAUAAGAACUCCGCAAUCAAGCAUGCUUGGGCGAGAGUAGUACUAGGAUGGGUGACCCCAUGGGAAGUCCUCGUGUUGCAUCCC